GACCGGUUAGCUCAGUCGGUUAGAGCGUGGUGCUGACAACACCAGGGCUGCCGGUUCGAUCCCUGCAUGGGCCA